GGGUCGUUAGCUCAGCUGGUAGAGCAGGAGACUCUUAAUCUCUUGGUCGUAGGUUCGAUCCCUACACGACCCACCA
rnacentral:tRNA from 2 species